AACGAACGCUGGCGGCAGGCUUAACACAUGCAAGUCGAACGCCCCGCAAGGGGAGUGGCAGACGGGUGAGUAACGCGUGGGAAUCUACCGUGCCCUACGGAACAACAGUUGGAAACGACUGCUAAUACCGUAUACGCCCUACGGGGGAAAGAUUUAUCGGGGUAUGAUGAGCCCGCGUUGGAUUAGCUAGUUGGUGGGGUAAAGGCCUACCAAGGCGACGAUCCAUAGCUGGUCUGAGAGGAUGAUCAGCCACAUUGGGACUGAGACACGGCCCAAACUCCUACGGGAGGCAGCAGUGGGGAAUAUUGGACAAUGGGCGCAAGCCUGAUCCAGCCAUGCCGCGUGAGUGAUGAAGGUCUUAGGAUUGUAAAGCUCUUUCACCGACGAAGAUAAUGACGGUAGUCGGAGAAGAAGCCCCGGCUAACUUCGUGCCAGCCGCCGCGGUAA
rnacentral:rRNA from 1 species